GGAGGUUCAAGUCCUCCCAGGCCCACCAAUUUAUGCUCGUUUUUUGCUUAUUCUUGAGCGUUAUGAAGCUUAAGCGUGUCAAAGCCUCUUUAAUCUUUGUUCAUAGUUUAAAGAUUUAAUUUUAACGUCCCUUCAAGGGUGCAGAUAAAUUUAAAGAAUAAAAAUCAAAAUAAUAUUGAUUAAAAGAGGAUUAAAAGAGGACAAGUCAUUCAAGUUGAUCAAUUUCUUGAGAUUGAUUUGAGAGAGCAUUCUUUAGGGGC
rnacentral:misc_RNA from 1 species